rnacentral:rRNA from 1 species
GGCGAUGUCUGAUUAGCUAGUUGGUGGGGUAAAGGCUUACCAAGGCAACGAUCAGUAGUUGGUCUGAGAGGACGGCCAACCACACUGGGACUGAGACACGGCCCAGACUCCUACGGGAGGCAGCAGUGGGGAAUUUUGGACAAUGGGCGAAAGCCUGAUCCAGCCAUGCCGCGUGAGUGAAGAAGGCCUUCGGGUUGUAAAGCUCUUUUAGUCGGAAAGAAAGAGUCGCAAUGAAUAAUUGUGAUUUAUGACGGUACCGACAGAAAAAGCACCGGCUAACUACGUGCCAGCAGCCGCGGUAAUACGUAGGGUGCGGGCGUUAAUCGGAAUUACUGGGCGUAAAGGGUGCGCAGGCGGUCUUGCAAGUCAGAUGUGAAAGCCCCGGGCUUAACCUGGGAAUUGCGUUUGAAACUACAAGGCUAGAGUGCAGCAGAGGGGAGUGGAAUUCCAUGUGUAGCAG